CAGAGGGCAGGGUGCUGGCUAACGGCCAGUCGAGGCGACUCGCAGGAAAGUGCCACAGAAAACAAACCGCCCGUUCCGCAAGGGGCGGGUAAGGGUGAAACGGUGCGGUAAGAGCGCACCGCGUCCGGGGUGACUCGGACGGCACGGUAAACCCCACCUGGAGCAAGAGCCAAUAGGAGCGCGUCCCUCGCAGUCCGGGGGGACAGGGAUGGCCCGUCCCAGGCGUUCGGGUUGCUCGCUGAUGAGGUCCCUGGGCAACCAGGGCCCUAGAUGAAUGUUCGCCGCCCGCCUCGAAAGGGGUGGGA
rnacentral:misc_RNA from 1 species